GGAUCGGUGGUCCAGUGGCUGGGCAUGACAGGUUUCCAUCCUGCCAGACGGUGGUUCAAUCCCACCCCGGUCCA
rnacentral:tRNA from 1 species